rnacentral:rRNA from 1 species
GGUGAACGCUAGCUACAGGCUUAACACAUGCAAGUCGAGGGGAAACGAUAUUGGAAGCUUGCUUCCGAUAGGCGUCGACCGGCGCACGGGUGAGUAACGCGUAUCCAACCUGCCCACCACUUGGGGAUAACCUUGCGAAAGUAAGGCUAAUACCCAAUGAUAUCUCAAGAAGACAUCUGAAAGGGAUUAAAGAUUUAUCGGUGAUGGAUGGGGAUGCGUCUGAUUAGCUUGUUGGCGGGGUAACGGCCCACCAAGGCGACGAUCAGUAGGGGUUCUGAGAGGAAGGUCCCCCACAUUGGAACUGAGACACGGUCCAAACUCCUACGGGAGGCAGCAGUGAGGAAUAUUGGUCAAUGGGCGAGAGCCUGAACCAGCCAAGUAGCGUGCAGGAUGACGGCCCUAUGGGUUGUAAACUGCUUUUAUAAGGGAAUAAAGUGAGCCUCGUGAGGCUUUUUGCAUGUACCUUAUGAAUAAGGACCGGCUAAUUCCGUGCCAGCAGCCGCGGUAA